UCUAGCAUUGUUUUUGUCUUCCCCAGUACCAUAUCUGGCAUUGUCUAGCCUGCAAAGGUACUCCCGGUCUCAUUUCUUUUCCCAGCAAUUUAUUUUUUCUAAACAAAAAUAAACAAAUAAAUAAUUAAUUAAAUAAUUAGAAUUAGCCUUAGGGUUUCUCUCGUCUCUGCACCUCUUAUCUCGUCUUCUCCGUCACCAUUCGUCACCACCGCCAGCCGUGUCUCCUCCUCCCCCUCUCUAUUUCCAUUGCGUUCCAAGAUUCUUGCCGUAGGAACCCCUAAUCCCCUUCCUCUCCAUCUCCACUCUUCUUCAGGUUUAGGCUUAGGAUUAGGGUUAGGUUCAGGGUUAAGGUUUCUCCUUCUCGUUCCCCAUCGGAUUCCAUCCUUGGAUCCACGGAAAUGGUGGCAUUCUAGGGUGUCUAAUCUCUUCUCGUCGGCUUGGUUCGAUAUUCUUGGUAUUUAUCCAAGUAUUUGGAUCUGAUGGCGUCUUCCGGCAGGCGGGAAGGGGCGGAUCUGGAGGGAUCGCGGACGUGGUGGGGCAAUCAGGCGGCUGAGGCCGGGGCGGUGGAGGCGGAGGAGGAAGAAGAGAGGAUCGACCACUUUGACCGGCUGCCGGACUCGGUGCUCCUUCUGGUGUUCAACCGGAUCGGGGACGUCAAGGUACUGGGGCGGUGCUGCGUCGUCUGCCGACGCUUCCAAGCUCUUGUCCCCGUCGUCGACGACGUCGUCGUCCGCGUCGACUGCGUCAUCUCCGACGACGCUACCCCGUCAUCCGCCGCCGCCGCCGCCGGCGGCUGCGGCCCGGACAAGGGCCGCGGCGUCUUGUCCCACCUUGCUCGCCUCGUCCUCGAUGGCCUCGUCAAGCCCCUCCAGGCCCUCGGCCAGAUGCUCAUCUCCGCCUCUGGUGCUUCCCGGAGAUCCUCGGCCUCCUCUGCGUCAUCUUCGUCGUCUUCAGAGGUCUCCCACCACUCCCCGACCGAGGUCCUCAAGAACUUCAAGGAGAUCCGCCGCCUCAGGAUCGAGCUCCCCGCCGGCGAGCUCGGAGUCGACGACGGUGUCCUCCUCAAAUGGAAAGCGGACUUCGGCUCCACCCUGGACAGCUGCGUCAUCCUCGGCGCCGCCUCCGUUCUCUCCUACGACUCUUCCAACCCUAACCCUAGCAUCCAGGACGCCUGCGGCGGCGAUGACAGUGGGAGCACCCCGGAGUCCUUCUACACCAAUGGAAGCUUGAAGCUUAGAGUGGUGUGGACCAUCAGCUCCCUCAUCGCCGCUUCCGCCCGUCAUUACCUCCUCCAGCCGAUCAUCGCCGACCACGGGACACUGGAGAGCUUGGAUCUCACAGAUGCUGACGGUCAGGGGGUGCUGGCCAUGAACAGGGGGCAGCUGCAGGAGCUGCAGGUGAAGCCGGUAUCGGCUUCGGGCAACUCCCAGCGGACCCUUUUGCCAGCCCUCAGCAUGCGGCUCUGGUACGCCCCCCACCUGGAACUGCCUGAUGGGGUGGUCCUCAAGGGAGCAACUCUGGUGGCCAUUCGCCCGAGCGAGGAUCGGUUGAGGGAGGCACCCAGCGGGGGCCGUGGGUCCUCUGAUGGAUGCUGGGUGUCGAAUGCCUUUGAAGAGCCCUACAGGACCGCAGCUAAGAUGCUCCUGAAGAGGAGGACUUACUGCCUGGAGAUGAAUUCCUUCUGAACUUGGAACGAACCACCCCGAAAAUUGAUCCUUCUGGAGGUUGUGGAGAUGGAAAGUUUCCAUCUUUAUUUUAUACAUCACCGACUUGUAGGUUAUGUUGGCGAGCAUCUGUGGUACCGUGGAGUUUUAAAUAGGUUGGGGUUUUCAAGUAUUCCUGGUUGUGUUCCCCUGUGAUGUGAUCAGCAGAAGCUUGGAUGAAAUUAGAGGUUUUAUUUAUGCAGGAAAAGAAAGCUUCUACUGAAUUUUUUUCUUUUUAUUGAAAUGUGCGUAAUUGUUCAUGGAAUUUUGGCUUGUCAAUCAAAGUUUAUCUGGAGCAACAUUGUGGAGAUCACGAGUUUGGCAUUAUAAUUAAUAUUUGGGAACAUAUGUUUUAGCCAUGUUUGAGUGGGAUCACUGAAUGUUUUGGAACUUCUGGAAACACAUAAUUGGUGGAUUUCAUAUGAGUUCUCCUUCAUUCAUCUGUCAAAUUUCACUAAAGUCCUGUGCAGAUCAUUUAAUGGGUUUUUGGAAGUUCCGGAGAGAUGGGGAGUGAACAAGAGAGACCCUUAUCAGAUUGUGAUCAACUCCUCCACUCUCACCUCUGGCUGCUGGAAUGAUUAUAGGCUGCAACAUCACCUUCAUGAACUGACAGGCAACAUGCUCCUGUUUUCUGGGUCCCUUGUGUAAAGUAAAUGUAGGAGCAGUUAGAGCAGUCUCUAUUCUCUAAGCCACCUCACAUUACAGUGUCGAUAUUGUACUGGGGAACAAAUAUGUUGCAUUCGGUGCAUUAGCAUACUUGCACUGAUCAAUCUAGCAGUUAUUCUUCUACUGAACUUGUAUCAAGUUCUAAUUUUUCAUAAAUUGUCUGUGUUGUUGUAACCUCAUGUACUGUCAGUCUGAAUUUGCAGCUUGUAAACUACCGUUAGGAACCAAAGACAACCUUUUUAUUUGCAAGCUUGCUUAUUUUAGUUUUGUCUGUUGUUUAUACUGGCAAGCUAUCUUUAAAUGCAUUCUCUGUGGCAAUGCAGAAAAGACAAUAGAUCAUUUGUUUC